UACGAAGGUGGCAAGCGUUACUCGGAAUUACUAGGCGUAAAGGGCAGGUAGGUGGUCUGAUAAGUCUGUUGUGAAAGCUCCCGGCCCAACUGGGAGAGGUCAACAGAAACUAUCAGGCUUGAGUAUGGGAGAGGGUACUGGAAUUCCUGGUGUAGCGGUGAAAUGCGCAGAGAUCAGGAGGAACACCGAUGCGAAAGCAGGUACCUGGACCGAUUACUGACACUCAGCUGCGAAAGCUAGGGGAGCAAACAGG
rnacentral:rRNA from 1 species